GGUUAACGCGAGGAGACAGACAUGGGACUUACGCAAUCCUUGAAUGUUCUGUUGGUCAGUGCAGCGUUUGCUUUCGUCCUGUCCAUGCUCUUUAUCUGAGCCGGAUCACGAAGGCGUAACGACUGAUAAUGCCUAAACUCCUGAAGAACUGAUCAUCCGCCAACGAAAAAGCGCAUGUCCCGCCCGACAUGCGCUUU
rnacentral:sRNA from 1 species